rnacentral:rRNA from 1 species
AAUGAACGCUGGCGGCAGGCCUAACACAUGCAAGUCGAGCGGCAGCACAGAGGAACUUGUUCCUUGGGUGGCGAGCGGCGGACGGGUGAGUAAUGCCUGGGAAAUUGCCCUGAUGUGGGGGAUAACCAUUGGAAACGAUGGCUAAUACCGCAUGAUGCCUACGGGCCAAAGAGGGGGACCUUCGGGCCUCUCGCGUCAGGAUAUGCCCAGGUGGGAUUAGCUAGUUGGUGAGGUAAUGGCUCACCAAGGCGACGAUCCCUAGCUGGUCUGAGAGGAUGAUCAGCCACACUGGAACUGAGACACGGUCCAGACUCCUACGGGAGCAGCAGUGGGGAAUAUUGCACAAUGGCGCAAGCCUGAUGCAGCCAUGCCGCGUGUAUGAAGAAGGGCCUUCGGGUUGUAAAGUACUUUCAGUUGUGAGGGAAGGUUGUAGUGUGAAUAGCACUAUGAUUUGACGUUAGCGACAGAAGAAGC